rnacentral:rRNA from 1 species
UACGUAGGGUGCGAGCGUUGUCCGGAAUUAUUGGGCGUAAAGGGCUCGUAGGCGGUCUGUCGCGUCGAAAGUGAAAACUCAGGGCUUAACCCUGAGCCUGCUUCCGAUACGGGCAGACUAGAGGUAUGCAGGGGAGAACGGAAUUCCUGGUGUAGCGGUGAAAUGCGCAGAUAUCAGGAGGAACACCGGUGGCGAAGGCGGGUCUCUGGGCCGAUACUGACGCUGAGGAGCGAAAGCGUGGGGAGCAAACAGG